CAAUAGCGUAUAUUAAAGUUGUUGCAGUUAAAAAGCUCGUAGUUGGACUUGUGGUGGUCUUUGGGGUCCGAUUUCGGUACUCUCGGGGACUGCCAUCUUUGGGUGGAUCCUGUGUGGCAUUAGGUUGUCGUGCAGGGGAUGCCCAUCGUUUACUGUGAAAAAAUUAGAGUGUUCAAAGCAGGCUUAUGCCGUUGAAUAUAUUAGCAUGGAAUAAUGAGAUAGGACCUUGGUACUAUUUUGUUGGUUUGCGCACCGAGGUAAUGAUUAAUAGGGACAGUUGUGGGUAUUCGUAUUCCAUUGUCAGAGGUGAAAUUCUUGGAUUUCUGGAAGACGAACUAAUGCGAAAGUAUUUACCAAGGAUGUUUUCAUUAA
rnacentral:rRNA from 1 species